AAGAAAGAUCGCAAGAACUGCUAACUCAUGCUUCCAUAUAUAACAAAUAUGGCUUUCUUA
rnacentral:tRNA from 1 species